GACGAACGCUGGCGGCGUGCUUCAUACAUGCAAGUCGAACGAGAAGCUGACUUCGGUCAGUGGAAAGUGGCGGACGGGUGAGUAAUAUGUAGGAAAUCUGCCUUUAGGAGGGGGACAACAGAGGGAAACUUCUGCUAAUACCCCAUAUGAGCGUAGCUGAAAUGCUAUUCUUGAAAACUCCGGUGCCUAAAGAUGAGCCUGCAUCUGAUUAGCUAGUUGGUAGUGUAAUGGACUACCAAGGCGACGAUCAGUAGCUGGUUUGAGAGGAUGAUCAGCCACAAUGGGACUGAGACACGGCCCAUACUCCUACGGGAGGCAGCAGUAGGGAAGUUUGCGCAAUGGGCGAAAGCCUGACGCAGCAACGCCGCGUGAACGAUUAAGCCCUUCGGGGUGGAAAGUUCUGUCAGUGGGGACGAAACUUGACGGUACCCACAGAGGAAGCACCGGCUAACUCCGUG
rnacentral:rRNA from 1 species